rnacentral:misc_RNA from 1 species
GUACCCUCAAGCUUUGCUUGGUGUUGGGCGUCUUUUGUCUCCAGCUCGCUGGAGACUCGCCUUAAAGUCAUUGGCAGCCGGCCUACUGGUUUCGGAGCGCAGCACAAGUCGCGCUCUUGCCCAGCCAAGGUCAGCGUCCAGCAAGCCUUUUUUCAAC